AUAUCAGUCAUGCAUAGCAUAUCAAUAAGCGGAGGAAAAGAAACUAACAAGGAUUCCCUUAGUAACGGCGAGUGAAGCGGGAAGAGCUCAAAUUUGAAAUCUUCAAGGUUUUACCUUGACGAAUUGUAGUUUAAAGAAGUGUUUUCUGUUGGAGUUUUGGUAAAAGUUCUUUGGAAUAGGACAUCAUAGAGGGUGAGAAUCCCGUAUUUGACCAUUAUUUCCAACUUUGUGAUACACUUUCAAAGAGUCGGAUUGUUUGGGAAUGCAGUCCAAAAUGGGUGGUAAAUUUCAUCUAAAGCUAAAUAUUGGCGAGAGACCGAUAGCGAACAAGUACCGUGAGGGAAAGAUGAAAAGAACUUUGAAAAGAGAGUUAAACAGUACGUGAAAUUGUCAAAAGGGAAGCGUUUGACACCAGUGUUGUUUAGUUGAAAAUCAAUUCAAUAAUUUUUGAUUUUGAAGUAGUAUUGACUUCAUCAGCUUGCUGCUUUCUUUUCAGAAAUUAUUGAAUGCACUUUUCAGUUAACAAGUCAACAUCAAUUUCUUUUGUUGUAAAAGGGUAAGAGGAAGGUGGCUUACGCUUCGGCGUAAGUGUUUAUAGCCUUUUACCUCUGCAAUCGGAGAGAUUGAGGACAGCAGCGUAGACUCUUCGGGGUUAGAUACACUUGUGCUAAGCUAUAGCCUUGUAUAGACAACUUGUUGACUAUGCUCAGUCAUGUAGCUUACUCGCUUGUGCUAUUUUACCUACGCUUAGGAUGUUGAUCUGUAGUGCGUGCGC
rnacentral:rRNA from 1 species